ACAUUCUUGAUAUUACUGACGAGUGGUUUUCACUGAUACAUUCAUGGCAAUAAACUGGAACCUCCCCAAAAAGUCGUGCCUUCUGUGAUCGUGAUGAUUUUUUUGAUGUAAUGCUGUCGACAGUAUAUUGAAGCAAGUUUGAAUCCUGGGUAGAAGCAAACCGAAUGACUUUGGGGAUUGCAUUCAUCUCGUUUGUACUCCGUUGUCGUCUUUACAAUUGGAGCCCAUACCUGAUUGCACUGUGACGGAGGCUAAAAUAAUGAGUCAGCUCUGAAUAUCUGGAGAUGUUUCAUGAUUCAUUUUCACUCCACGCCAGCGAAAAUGGAUGAGAGACAUUUGAUCCUGAUGAACAACUCCAAUAGGUUUGCCCGUAAACCCAAAGCGCACGCGGCGGCUAUGCAGAGCGUCUGGCUUUCCUAUUUGCGGCUUGAUCACGCAUGCGCUAAUCCAUCACCAUUGACAGCCAUCAUUAUAAUAAGAAGGAGAGCACGCGUUUGAUGGGAGCUCCCUUUGUGGUGCUUGCAGGCAGCUAAAAAUUGUCAGAGGAGACGAGCUGGGGCGACCUUGACAGUGCGAGGAAGCGGCUCAAUGAAAU